UUUAGAAUGUAAUCUCAAGAUUCUCAAGACCGGUUUGGAUGACCUAGGAUAUCCCAACAGAUCAGAUAAUGUCUAUUGACCUUUCAGAAGACUUAUUGGACAUGAUAGAAUACGAAUAGGAGCUUUGUAUAGUGUAAGAAGUAACUGUUACACCCGUAGUUUUUAGGAUCUAAACUCAAGAACAGUUUGAAUGACCUAGGAUAUCCCGACUGAUCUGAUACUGUCUUUUGAACUUUCAGAAGACUUACUAGUUAUAAUAGAUAUCAAAACGUAACUUUGUAUAAUGAAAGAAGCUACCGUUAUACUCGUAGACUUGAGGAUCUCAAUUCAAGAACAGUUUGGCUGCCCUAGAAUAACCCGACUGAUCUGACACUAUCUUUUAAACUUUCAGUAGACUUGCCGGGCAUGAUAGAUUACAAAUUGUAGCUUUGUAUAGUGAAAGAAGUUAUUGCUAAAUCCAUAUAGACUAUAGGAUUAGAGAUAGAUUACAAGUCUUAGCUUUGUAUGAUGAAAUAAGUUAUUGUUACAUUCGUAGACUAUAGAAUUUAGACUAAAGAACAGUUUGGAUGAUCUAGGAUAUCCGGGCUUAUUUUAUACUGCCUUUUGAAUUUUCAGAAAACUUACUGGACAUGAUGAAUUACAAAUCAUAGCUGUGUAAUAAUGGAUCUAAACUAAAGAAUAGUUUGGACGACCUAGGAUAUACCGACUGAUAUGAUACUGUCUUUUGAACUUUCAGAAGACUUAUUGGACAUCAUGGGAUACAAAUCGUAGUUUUGUUUAAUAAAAGAAGUUGCUGUUGCACCUGUAAACUUUAAGAUCUAAACACAAGAACAGUUUGGAUGACCUAGGAUAUCCAGAAAUAAUAUAUUCUGCAUCAUAUUCUACCUCUUUUACCUUGUCUAAUUUGAUGCUGUUUCUGCAAAACUUUGGGUGACAUUAGCAUUAGCAUUAGCAUUAGGCGAGUCGCAUAAAUUUGUUUCGACAUAUCUAUUCGACACUUCACGAUCAAUCCCUCAAAUUCAGUGAACCACCCUAAGUGCUUCACCAAACAACCAGCUGUUCGUUGGUGUGUCGAUUACCGUGUACCUGUACACUAUACCACCGCACGUAUGUUAGUGGAGCUCUUGAGUUGUGUUGUUGUUGUUACCGCUGCUGCCUCGCCUUCAAUUCACCGCACACCACCAUUCCCCAUGCAAUCGACUUGAUUCAUGGCUCGAGAGCAAUCGCUCAAAUCGUGUGCCGGGCAAACACGCGACGAAGACGUCGACGCCGAUGAACCACCAGCACGGCUCAGCAGCAAGCAACGCUCGAAUCGGUGUGCCCAGGUAUUGGUAAGUUUGUGAAAAAACUUUUACUUUAAAAACAAUCCGUCCGUGUACGCUUCUGGUUCGCGCGAGAUUCCGUCCGCUCCGUCGUCGUCGUCGUGGUUCGCGUGCCCCCACAUCCCAUCCACCACAGCACACCACCACCGUUGUGAAACUCGAAGCCACGGUUCCCGGCUGCAGUCCCAUCCAUGACAUCGAACAUCUGUAUCGCGUGCUGUCGUCGUCGGUUGUGUUUGGCGCGAAUAUUUGUGUUUGGUUUUUAAAAAUAUCUCCCUCCUUUCUAAUGGGUUCUAGUUCAAUCGUUACCAAGGUUUGACAUCCAACAUCCUCGGGAGAUUGUGACUUUGUGGUUGAUCCGGCCCAACUGAGUUUGACGUUUGUAAAUAGCUGAUAGAGGACCAAAUGAACUAAGGCAGUGGAACAAAAAGAAAUUUCGGGCGAAAACGGGGCCACUGCACCUCGGUAGACGGCUUAUCAGUCAUACAUUUCCAAACUGUGAUAAACGGCGAUUGGACGUGUCCCAGUUAGGGCCGCACCUAGGCUACAGCCAGAGUUUCCGAAGCAUCGACGUGAAACAGCUGAUUCGCUGCUGACGAACGAAGAGUGAAAGUGUUUUGCGGUCAGUUUAUGACGGACUGGUCCAACCAGACAAGGUCUGCUUGUUGCGCUGCUCGCCGGUUCCGAAAUCGACUCGAGGUGACUGAAGUGAUGUGCGGUCGAGUCGUUAGCCCUGGACACAACAAUUCGGUCGCGUAUAGUGCUGCAGUUUUAGAAUAAACUGGUUCACCCAGUUUCGAGGGGGAAAUCUCUGCUCUGCCGCCGUUCAACAAGUGUUCGUUAAAGUAAUUGACAGUGCCUCAGAAACAGCUACGUGUGAAGAAUCAAUGAACCGGUUAAGGCUGAAAUUACGGUCAUGUUUUCGUGCGUUUGAAGCUAAUUGAAGUGUGUUGCUGGAAACCUUCGCCCACGCCAUCCGAAGUGACACCCACCAACCCGCAAUUGCAGGGAGUUCCAAUACUCUGUGUAAGCAAGAGUCAAUCUGUGUGGCAACGCGACAGCCACAGAACAGCAAACCGGCAUCAGCUUCAAACGUAAAAAUGGCCGAGCUAGUCUGCGUCUACAUCCUGUGCCCGUGGUUGCUGUUCGUCGUCUACGUAGUGCUGUCCAUGAACGGACUAAUCUGACAGCCACUCUUGGACAUCUUCUGUAAGCCGUCGAAUACAUCCAGCGACCACGUUCCGUAUUUCGAAAACAUCCUGGCUUUCGUCAUACAAGUGUGAACCAAAUGGAAGAAAGUGUUUUAUGAUCCAAAUGCGAUAACCUCGGCCCAAUCGAGCAGUUGGAAAUAUUAAAUGCCCAUCAUCGGCGAAUCUGGCGCAGACCUCGGGGUUGCCGAAGUGUACGUGGAUUUGGUCGCUAUCAAUACGUGAUGGAAGGUGUGUAGCAGGGGCAUGGCCGCUGCCGAAUCAUGAAUUGCAUUUUUUUUGUGAGUGAGAAGUGAAGCCUAGUGAAUGUUUUAUUGCCCAGUUUUGUGUGCGAUCGACAAAUAAAAAUAUGCUUUGUCCGGCGCGAGCAUUCCGACGGUUCCAUCGAUAUCAGUGAUUUAUUGGUUGCGGCCGUGUAACUUCGAAUCGAACUGAAGGCUUCUUUCGUUGAUUCGUUCGUACGUUUGCUGGAUUGCAUUUCGCGCGCCAAGUUUGCUUCUGGCCCAGUUUUCGAAUCCGCAUUGAAGUGGCAAAUCGACGAAAUUGUCGACGGUAGGCAAAUUGAAUUCGACCGGCGAAAUCGCCGGUGUGCGGAUGAUGAAGCGUGCAGUGUAAUUUUUGCUGGCGAAAAUUGAUUUUACGGUGCGUUCGUUUCCUUUGGCAUUGCUGGCGGAGCGCGUUUUUUUUUGUAUUGGUUGUACGCAUAAACAUAGAAGACGCAACGCUGAAGAAGCCGAAAAAAUCACCGCACAGUACUCUCCAUUUGCGAGAGUGUCAACAGAUUGUAUAUGAGUGAUUUAAGGUUCAGAAAUUGCCAGCAGCCGUCGUCGUCGUCGUCGUUGUGUAAAUCACCGAAGAACAUUCCCAGUAGCAGUUGCAUUCAAAACCGCCGCCGAGAAUCCAUCUCGGCUUUAGUCCCAGUAGUGGUCGGUGCCGUCGUUGUUGCGGUUAGCGAAUCAGAAGACGAAGAAGAUUCGGGAGCAGUUGCGGCAGCUUCCGGAGCAGUGGCAGGAGAAGAACCCGGGUUGUCGGGAGUGUUGGGAGCAGCAUCGGUGGCGGCAGCGACGGCCAAUGCCAGCGGCAGCCCCGAUGUCAAUCGAUUAAUUUACAUCUUCUUCGAAAAGUAUAAAUAAAUCGGCAAUAUUCGCGUUUAAGUGCGACUUUGGCGGCGGCGCGUUAGAAGACGAAGAAAAAGAAGUGAAAGACUAAGAAGAGUGCGCGCGCGCGAGAUCGGGAAGAAGUGAGUGAAUUAGUGAAGAUUUGCGGUGCGAUUUGUCCGGGGAGCUCUUAAAUUUGAGCCACUUGAAACAUGUAAAAUAUCCCCGAUAGCGCAAACGUUUCAGUAGAGUGUACGAUAUUAACCAGAUGCCAGUUUGUCGGCGGUACCGCGGUUGAGUGUUAUUCCGAUACAGUGAAUUAGGAGCAGCAAAGAUGAGCGGCGGAGCUCCUCUUCCCGUGAAGAAAGGCCGUGCUGCUUCCGUAACGGUUUAAGAUGAAUGCAACUGCAACGGCGGCGUCAGCAACUCCGAGCAACUACGGCCAACUGCAGCACGUGGCUGCAGCGACGAGUUCUCCGUCAGCGGCGACAGCUUCGCAAGUUUCGCAAGUGGUGGCAGCAGCUGCAGCGGCAGCCGCAGCAGUCCAAGCCCAGGGCAACGUCACUUCCGCUGUCGGUUCGAAUUCGGCCGUAGGGCUCGCUCCGUCGGAACCAAUGUCCUCCUCGUUGCCCGUGAUUAAGCCGGAGAUUUUUCUGAACGAUCACUCGCUGGUGGCUGUCUAUUGCUUUGUGAAGAAUUUUAUAGGGUAAGAUGCCAGAACGGCCCAUUCCCGGGGUGUUGUUGACCCAUUUUGCGUCGCAUUGUUGUGGGGUAAGGUAUCUGAAAUCUUUAUUAUUUUGUAUGUCAAACAAAUACGUCGAGUGUGAGAUAAUGAACAAAUGAAGACGGGCUUAUUUUCUUGUAUGGUGAUCUCUUCAGACGACUG